rnacentral:rRNA from 1 species
AGGCUGNAACCCGCCUGCAUGAAGUCGGAAUUGCUAGUAAUCGCGGAUCAGCAUGCCGCGGUGAAUACGUUCCCGGGCCUUGUACACACCGCCCGUCACACCAUGGGAGCCGGUAAUACCCGAAGUCAGUAGUCCAACCUCGUGAGGACGCUGCCGAAGGUAGGAUUGGCGACUGGGGUGAAGUCGUAACAAGGUAGC